rnacentral:rRNA from 1 species
GAUGAACGCUCGCGGCAGGCCUAAUACAUGCAAGUCGGACGGGAUUCAGGAGCUUGCUUCUGAUGAGAGUGGCGCACGGGUGCGUAACACGUAUGUAACCUACCUUUAUCAGGGGGAUAGCCUCUCGAAAGAGAGAUUAAGCCCGCAUAAAAUCACAGCACAGCAUUGUGUAAUGAUCAAAUAUUUAUAGGAUAAAGAUGGGCAUGCGGAACAUUAGCCAGAUGGCGGGGUAACGGCCCACCAUGGCGACGAUGUUUAGGGGAUCUGAGAGGAUGGCCCCCCACACUGGUACUGAGACACGGACCAGACUCCUACGGGAGGCAGCAGUAAGGAAUAUUGGUCAAUGGGCGGAAGCCUGAACCAGCCAUGCCGCGUGCAGGAAGACGGCCCUACGGGUUGUAAACUGCUUUUAUACGGGAAUAAACCCAGAUACGUGUAUCUGGCUGAAUGUACUGUAAGAAUAAGAAUCGGCUAACUCCGUG